rnacentral:rRNA from 2 species
CAACAACGGAUCUCUUGGUUCUGGCAUCGAUGAAGAACGCAGCGAAAUGCGAUAAGUAAUGUGAAUUGCAGAAUUCAGUGAAUCAUCGAAUCUUUGAACGCACAUUGCGCCCGUCAGUAUUCUGGCGGGCAUGCCUGUUCGAGCGUC